CAGUCAAACAAAUAUUCAAAAAUAAAUCUUUAAAAUCUAGUUUCAAAAUCUAUUUUCAAAUGUCAGCUAAACACCAAGGCCAAAAAAGGAAAAAACACUAAAGAUUCUUAAAAACAGAUGCUAAUGAAACAAAAAACCAGCCAACUUUACAUUUUCCGAUGCCAAUAAAACCAAAAACACUGAUCAUAGCAGUGUAGUUUUCCAGAAAAGCUAAAAUCUUGUAAAAAAAACAAAGAUGAAAUCUGGAAAAAGUCAUCAUGAGGAAGAAGAAGAGAAUGAGUAUGAUGUUGGUUCUAACAGAGAUGCUACACCUUCCAUUAACAGUACCAAAGGUUAGUAGGUUGUCGAGUGCAUUGCUUUCCUGGUCCUGGAGUAUUCCUCAACAAAUGGGAAAAGGAAAGCGAUAAAGGGAAAGAAAAAGAUCUUAUGUUGACCAAUCAAUAGGGGCUUCAUACUCCCUUUACAGAUGGAGAUCAAUUAAGGACUUGGACAUUGGUGCAAAAGAGUGGGGCUAUGAUUUUCCAAUGCAAGAAUAGUCUAAAUUCAGUCGGUUAUGAUGGCUGAAAGAGAUAAUAGGGGAUUUACAAGAUGAUGCAUUUAUUUCAUUACGACUUUAUCUUUAGAAUUUUUAACUAUUGUCAGAUUUGCUUAAAAUUCCUGAAGACAAAGCUUUCUGUCUAUCUCUAGAUUUCAGACGUUGAGAAAUUUGAUGCCCCAGACUGAGCAAAAACAAGAUAACGCGUCAUUCUUCUUAGAGGUAAUUCAGUACGUACAGUAUUUACAGGAGACAGUACAGAAGUAUGAAGGAUCGAAUAAACCUUUGAGCUCGGCGCCUUCAAAACUUAUGCCAUGGGGAAAUUAUGUACCUAUUUUUAUAACAUCUCUGUUCUCAUCAUAACUUUUUUGGUUGUGAACUUUUGAAAUGGACUCUCUAGCGCUUAGCUGUGGGUAAUAUUUAUUCCUCUAACCGAAAGUAGUCAAGUACUCUUGGUUCAGUUUGUUAAGAUAUUAUGUAAUUCAAAUCAAUUAGUAAUGAUUUGAUUAGGAUUCUGACUGUAAAAUUAUACACUUGCCGAAAUUGCUCAAUGAAAAAACAUAGGAUCUUAUAUGGAAUGGUAUUCCCAUUUUUACUGACAGGUAAUGCAGUAUUGUUUUAACAGACAGAAGUUCCAGAAUAAUUCAGAGCUGAUCUUUACAGUGUUACUUGUAAAAGACACAUUUAGCUCUAGACUAACUACCACACUCCACAUAAUUGCAUCCAUUCUCUGCAAAACGGUCUUAAGUCAAGUCGAAAUGGAAAGAAAACUCCCUGUCUUGCAUUCUUCCCCCCAUCCCCACCCACCCCACCCACACACGCAGAAACACGCACCACUCUCUGAUGACCAUUGAUGUGCAUGUAAUUUCAGGUCAUUUACUGGUAUUUUGUUGAUGUUGUUGUUCCUUAAUUGCACUGCUUUCGUAUUAGUUGCAUGUUUUCUUCACUACCAUUUUUCCUUUUACAUUACUCCUUUGUGCAGUUUCACUUGAGCUAAGGGUCUUUCGGAAACAGCCUGUUUACCUUCACAAUGUAGGGUUAAGGUUACUGGAUUCGUUUACACAAGCGCUAGAGACUUCCGGUCUUGAUCUUUCACAGACCACUCUCUCAGUGCAGAUUAAGAUAGGGAAGCAGCCAUUUAAGGGAAUGGGCUUGGGGCCAUCUGUUUCUAAGGAUACAGAAAAUCCUCCACCUGCGGGCGAUCAAUUUAUGGAGGAAUUUCAGGACACAAACAAUGAUGAAGAGUUGGAGUAAGCUCAAAAGAGGCUGAAGAAAUAGAUGCGACUAUAGCAUGGCAAUACCAGGUCUAAUCAACUCAAGUUUGCAUCAGCUCCGCCUAAAUCAUCAGUUGAGUAUAUAGCCAUGUAGGUUUUAUCAAAUCCAAAUAUUUAUUGCGUGUUCUAGCAAUGUUUUCUUCUGUCAUCUUCCCUGUCUGUAGUUAAAAACAAAAUCUACAUGCUCCGAGUCUAAAGUCAAAACUUAUAUUUAGAAGCGCAUGUUGGUAUGCUAAGUUAUGCUACAAAUUUCUUGUUUUAAGCCAUGUAUCUCUCUGUCGAUGCUAGUAAGUUUUGGAAUUUAAUCUAAUGUAUGUCAAUGUAGAAUGUAAGUUGGUUCACAUUAGUAGGCAUACCUUGUAAUGUUUAGUUCAAAACUAGAAAUUAAACGGUCAAUAGUUCUUGUUUGAUUUUAAAACUUAAUCUCGAUAGAUGUUUAACAGUGGAAUGUCCUCCACAAAAUAUGGUAGCUUGACUUAAUAGAAUGUCAGUGGGGAACGCCAAAGUAGCUGAGGCACUAAUAAGGCUCGCAGUUGCUUCAAACAAGGCAACCUAGAUCAUGAAAUUUUGUUAACAACAUCAUAGAAUGUUGGUUUUUCAUACCCUUUGGAAGGAAAUAACCAGCUUUCCCCACAAUGAAGUUUGCAUUGUCUCGUCAACUUACAAACAACAUAUCCUGUGUAUUUCUCACAAGUGGGGUUUGAGAAGGAUAGAGUGUACGCAUACCUUAUCCCUACCUCACUAUCAAUAAAUCACUAUUUUACCAUUGAAUUUCUCACUAAAAAAUGCUUAGUGGCUAUUCUCACAGAUAUUUUUAUUGAAUUAGUGGGAAAAGAAAAAAUAGUAGUGUUUUUAUUAGAGUAAAAAAUUAGGAAGCUUCUCAGUGUUCCUACCAUGUAUUUUUCCAGUGAGCUGGUUUGAGUUUGGGGGAACUGGGUGGGAAAAUUAUGUUUGAUAACACAAAUUUCCACUAAUAGUGCCUCUUUAACUUACUGGGAUGAAAAUUUUUAGGGGUUGAAUAAUCCUAACAUCUCCUCCUUGAUGUUAAAGUAGUUGAUAGGAUGGAUGAAUCGGUGCAAUAAAAUGCCUCAUAGAGGAAAAACAUCCCCUAGAAAAAAAAUUGGGAGAAGACUUUUCGGGGAUUAUUUCGCUGCGGGAGUUGGUUCCUAGAGUUAGAAUCUUGAUCAUUUGGGGAUUUUUGUAGUGAACCACAUGAAACAAUUUGUAUUUUUUCUAAAGCUAGAUCAAAUCCAGAAACAAUUAAGACUCCAUCUGUACGGAUAUCUCAGAGAGAACGGCAAGGCUUUUAUCUCCUUGUGGCAACAUUGUAUUAGUAAACUUUAGCAGCUUCAUAGUACUUAACACAAACAAGGUCGUUGCAAUGAUUUGAAUGGUAAUUAUCUCUGAUCUUGUGUCAGAAUAAUAAUGUUGAAGUGUGAGUCGUAAAUAUUUGUGUUGAAUUCCUAAGUUCUUUAACAUAGUAGGAAUUUAUGGUGGAUGAGAAAAAAUAACACCCUAAUAAAAUACAGUCAUCAUUGAAUAUUGGCGUUUUCAGUAUAAUUAAAAUAUGUAUUAUCAUGGUAAUAUAUUAAAGUGAUAUUCACGAAUUCAAGAUCAUAUUCUUACUUUUAUAAAGCUAAACCUUAACCAUAGUUCCAAGUUGUGUAGGAGAUUGGGGGGAGUUUGUAGAGAAUAAUUUAUUAUUGUAGAUUCUUUACCUUUUAGUAUACCCCUUGUAUACGGCCUACAUUUUGGCCAUGUUUAUGAUUGAUAAUACGUUUAUUUGUUCCAAAAAAAAAAGACAAAAAAAAUAAUCAUGUAAUAGUACAAACAUGAAUCAAAUAUGGAUAAAAGCCAAAGCAUCAACACAUUAUUAUAGGUUUAUGAUAACAUGAUGUAUACAACAACAUAUAAAAAUAAUAAUAGUAAAAGAGUUACAAAAUUUUAGGUUUUAUGAAAUAUUAUUAAAACAUAAGAUCGCUUUGUUCAGUAAUUUAGGGUGCGAUUUUUGAUUAAUGCUCGCGUCAUUUAGAUCUCAAUUUAAGCUUUAUGUUGGGCUUCUUUUUCAUUAAUAGUCAUAUCAAAUUGGAUUAAUAAUUUGUAAUUUCCCACCAACACUUCAGAAAGUUUGGAAUUGUAAGCAUAAAUGCAAACUCUUGAUGUAGAAAGGUAUCACAAAAAAGAAAAAAGAGAAGAGUUAUAAUUGAAUUAUAUAGGUCAAUCUCAGCUAAGUCAACUCGACUCGAGGGUACAAAUUCUUCAACAAUAACAUACCCAAUGUAGUCACACAAAGUGGGGUCUUGGAGGGCCGAAUGUACGUAGACCUUCCCUCUACUUCAUAGGUGAGGUAGAGAAGUUUCCGAUAGACCCUCGACUCAAGACAAAAAUAGUCCAUAAUGGAAGUACAAAAGACAAUAGAUUGUAAUAGAAAUAACAUAUAGUAGUAUAAAUAGAUAGUAACAGAAAUCGAAGAACAAGGAACUAUGAGAGUAGUCUUUUGACUUCUGUUAAGGACAACUAGAUAAUCCACUCCUACAGCUACUAGUAUGGAUGUACUCUUACCUACUAACCUUUUAUUUUAAUUUAUGUCCUCCACACCUUCUUAUCUAAGGUCAUAUCCUCGAUAAGCUGUAAUUACGUCAUGUCUUUCCUAAUCACCUCUCCCUAAUAAUUUUUCGGUCUACCUCUUUUGCAUCCAUCCAUAUUCAACAUCUCACCUCUCCGCAUUGGGGCAUCCGUGCAUCUUCUCAUCUCAACCUUGCUUUCCGCAUUUCAUCUUCCAUCGAUGUUGCUUCCACUUUGUUUCAGAUAUCCUCAUUUAUUAUCUUAUCUCUCCUAGUAUUCUUCAAAUUUGGUAUAAUUAAAGAAUAAUGAGGAUGAUGAUCUUGUGGGGUUGAAUCUUUAUAUUUCCUUGAAUGAGCAAACAUUAUCAAUUGCACACUACGGAGUAAAACCAAAAAGAUUGUAACUAAUAGCCAUAUCCUUGAUCGAGUUGUCGAGCUUUAAUUGUUAAACCUCUAAGUUUUCCAGGUUUUCUAUUUCUAAACAAAUUUAAUACCAUAGUUAGCCAACUUCUUCUACUAAAUAAGAAAGAAAAUAUAUAUAAAGCACAUGUUUUAGUAGCACGUUUGAAAGAAGAAACAAAUUUCCCACCCCUAAUAAGUGAGGCAAAACCUUGAAGAUCACGGUUAAAAUUGUGGCAGAAAUAGAAAACGUGGAAAGCUUUAAGGUUUAAGCUUUAACUUGAUCAAGGCUAUGGUUAUACAAUAUUUUUGGUUUUACUCAACAGUAUGCAAAUAAUAAUAUUUGUUUAUACUAGGAAAUAUCAAGUUUCAACCCAAAGGAUCAUUCUCAUUAUUCUUCACUUUUACCAAACUUGAAGAAUACUAUGAGAGGUAGGAUAAAAAAUGGGAAUAUCCGAGACAAGAUAGGAGAGACUUCGAUGGAGGACAAGAUGUGGAAAGCGAGGUUGAGAUGAUUCAAGCAUGUGAUGGGAUGAUGCGGAGGGGUGAAAUGAGAGGCUGGCUAUGGAUGGAUUCAAAAUAAGUAGAGAUAGAUCGAAAAAAUAUUGGAGAUAGGUGAUUAGACUGGACAUGGUGUAAUUGUAGCUUAUCAAGGACAUGACCUUAGAUAAGGUGUGGAGGAUGCGAAUUAGGAUAGAAGGUUAGUAGGUAGGAUUGUGUCCACACUACUAAGCAGGAAUGCAUUAUCUAAUGGUCCUUAAUAGUAGUCAUAGGACUACUCUCGUAGUUUCUUGUUCUUCGAAUUUUGUUACUAUCAAUUUAUACUACUAUAUUUUAUGUUGUUUUGGUUACUAUCUAUUGUGUCUUGUACUAGUGGACUAUUUUUGUCUUGAGCCGAGGGUCUAUCGAAAACAACUUAUCUACCUCGCCUCUAAGUAGAGGGGAAGUUCUCUUUACUUCUUCUCUUAAACUUCAAGUCAAAAUCAUACAAACAAAGUAAAACGGGGGAGUAUGAUAUAUUACUAUUUCAUCGAUUAAAAGAAUAGAAAACGUGAAUGAAUCAAAAGAGCAUGGUCUAAAGUUGCCAAUUAUUCCCACUGGAACGUCCAAACUUUUUUUUCUCUCUCCACAUUUAAAUAAAAUAAAAAUUUUGAACAAAAUAUAGGGUUUUUACAUACUUUUUCUUUCCGAAAAAAUGAUUCAUCGAAAUAAUGAAUCAUCAUUAAUAUUGAUACAUCUAAGAUUGCUAAUUACUCGAUAGGAACAAAUUUGAUGAUCCAUUGAUACGCGUUCUUUAAAUUCACCUAAAUGACUAGCAGAAAAAUACAAAUUGCUUCUUGGGUUUCAUUACAAAUAUCCUCAAAUGAUCAAGAUUCUAACUCUAGGAGAGAAAUAAUCUCCGAAAAGUCGUCUCCCAUAUUUUUUCCUAGGGGAUGUAUUUUCCUGUGUGAGACACUUUACUGAACCCAUCUAUUCCAUUCUAUCAACAACUUCAACAUCAGAGAGGAGAAAUUUAGGAAUGUUUUAACCCUGAAAAAAUUUCCUUUCGAUAAGUUAAAAGAGGUUUUCCCUAUACAACAAAUCAGAGGGAAUUUGUGUUAUCAAACAUAAUUCUCCCACCCAGUUCCCACUAAACCAAUUCACAUUGGGAAAAUGCAUAGUGGGAACACUGGGAAUCUUCCUAGAUUUUUUUCUUAUGAAAAUACUAUUAUUUUUUUUCCCCGCUAAUUCAAUAAAAGUAUCCGCAGGAUUAGCCUCUGGACAUUUUUUAGUGGGAUAUUCAAUGGUAAAAUUGUGAUUUUUUAUUAGUGAGGUAGGAACAAGGUAUGCGUACACUCUACCCUUCCUAAACUCCACGUGUGAGAAUACAUAGGAUAUGUCGUUGUUGUAAUUUGAAGAGAUAAUGCAAACUGCAUUGUUGGGAAAAUUGGUUUUUUCCUUCCAAGGGUAUAAAAAGCUGGUAUUCUAUGAUGUUGUUAACGAGAUUCUCAUGAAAUUUAACUCUAGUCCCAAUCUAGAGAAGUUGCUUCGCUUGAAACAAAAAGGAUUGACAAGACAAAAUUCGCAGAUGUUUUAGCAACUGUGAGUCUUAUUAGUGUCCCAGCUUCUUUGGAAUUCCUAGUGAUUUUGUGUUUAAGUCAUGCUAGCGUACUUGUUGAGAACAUUACUUUGUUAACAAUUAUUGAGGUUAAAGUUUUAAAAUCAAACAAGAACUAUCGUCCGUUAAGUUUCUAGUUUUGAAUUAAACAUUGCAAAGGUAUGUCUACUAGUUUCAACCAACUUAGAUUCUACAUUGACAUGCAUUCGAUUAAAUUCCUAAAGUUACAAGCUUAGCGAGCAAGAUACAUGUCUUAAAACAAGAAAUUUGUAUCAUAACAUAGCAUAACAACAUGCGCUUCGAAAUAUAAAAUUUGACUUCUAACUCGAAACAUGUAGAAUCUAUUUGUAACUACAAACAAGGAAGAUGAUAGAAGAAAGCAUUGCUAGAACAUACAAUAAAUAUUUGGAUGAGAUAAAAACUACAUGGCUAUAUUCUCAAACUGAUGAUUUAGGCGAAGGUGAUGCAAACUUGAGUUGAUUAGACUUGGUAUCGCCAUGCUAUAGUUGUAUCUAUUUCUUCAGCCUCUUUUCAACUCGCUCCAACUCUUCAUCAUUGUUUGUAUCCUGAGAUUCCUUCAUAAAUUGAUCGCCAGCAGGUGGAGUAUUUUUUGUAUCCUAGAGUGAAAUGUGUUGUGUUCAGGCAUUUUAACCAAAUCUAACAAUAGUUAAACAUUCUACUGAUAAAGUCGUAAUGAAAUAAAUGCAUCAUUGAGUAUGUAUAGAGAUCCCGUUGCAACACAAAAAUGAUAAGGAAAAAAAACCACAGAACAUACAAAUGGAGAUCAGUUGUUCAUCAACACGACUUACGUCAGUGAAGAACAAGUGUAUUUGCAAUGGUACCAAGUGGCUGAGGAACCUUUCAAUGAAAUAGUGCUUUUUCAACUCUCUCAAAAUGGAAUCUAAGGUAGGAGUAUGGUUCGCGUACACUCUACCCUCCUCAGACCCCACUUGUGAUGUUACAUUGGCCUUUUGUUGCAGGCACCAGGUGAAGUACCAACGAGGCUUUCCUACGAUCUUUAUCGUGUCAAACAUCUAUGCAUGUAGAGUAUAUAUCUGUCCGACUCGGAUGAGGGACUUCUUAUUUUCGUGCUCCUUAAAUCAUCAAUAAGCUCAGAAGUCCGCUGACAAUGAUAUACCACCUCUCGAAUCUCUUGAAGUGGAACGCUUCUCAGAUGUGACAUUUAAUCGCCUCAGGAAAGUUAAGCUAAUGCAAACUAAUGGCACAAUCCCUGACAGACAGCUUAUUAAGCUUCUGUUGGACAAGUCUCCUGAACUGGUGAGAAUGCUAAUUGAGCCAUGUUUAGUUGAAGAAUCUGCAACAGUCCAAAUCUUCGCUGAGCUAAUAAGAUUUCAGCGGGCAUCACCCAAUGCAGAAGUGUAUAUAAGUUGGAUAGGCAUCCAAAUCCCCGUCCUGUUUGCUUUUCACUUGGACGAAUGUUUUCGGAAGUUGAUGGAAAUUGACAGAACUGAAUGUGAAUGCAGUACAGCUGUAGUA